AAGGUCUAUAUAAAAUAGACUUUAGAUACAGUAUUAGGGGACCACUAAGGUCUAUAUAAAAGAGACUUCAGAUACAGUAUUAGGGACCAAUAAGGUCUAUAUAAAAGAGACUUCAGAUACAGCAUUAGGGAUCACUAAGGACUAUAUACAAGCAUCCAAAAGCAGCAUGUCAUGGGACCUUUAAA